UAAAUCACAACUCAGAAAUCACAACUAAAGGUAAUCAAUUCAUAUUACAAACAUAUUCAUGGCUUUGAAUUAACCUCUAGCCAAAAUAAAUUUAGUUACACAUUAUUUUCUAAUUAAACCAGAAAUUAAACAUGAGUUUGAGAAAAUAUACAACCCUUUUAUUUUUCUUCUGCUGCCGUCUCCCUCUGACCUGCUUCUCCCUGCACAUCUUCUCUCCCUUGGCUGUCGCCCCCCUCUUUUCUGCGCUGCCUUGGGCAGCUUAUCUCCUUUAUAUUUUUUUUAUUCUGUUUUCUCCUCUCUCUUCCCGUUCUCACGCUGCUCAAAGCAGCCUUCUUGGACUCUCUGACCUCACGUUUCCUGCUUCUCUCCUGUUUUUCUGUGCAGCCUUGCUGCUUCUCUCUCCCGCCACCUGUCUCUCAAGCUGCCAAAGGCAGCUUCUAUCCUCCCUAGCGUCCUCUCUUUUCUUUUGUUUUUCUCCCUUUUAUUCUUCUCGGUUUUCUCUUUUCCCGAGCUGCCAAGAGGCAGCUUUUCCCUCACCAAACGCAGCUUUGGUUUUUUUUUAUUCUCUAAUGCUGCAAGGUGCAGCCCUUUUUCUUCAUUAUUCCCCCACUGCACUUAUUCUUUUCUGGCAUCCCACUCGUUUUCCACUAGCUGCAAAGGCUUAUUUCUUUUUGUUUCUUUUCUUUACUCACCAACUGCAAAACACUUCAAUUUUAGAUAUAUCAUAUAAUUUCUAAUGCCAUAUAAUUUCUAAUGCAUACCUAAUAAAUUUAGCCUAACUUCCAUGACCUAUAAUCCGUGACACAAUUCUACCAAUAACCCAUGACAGAAUGAGAACAACUAAAGCAAUUUUCGACGAAUUUAUUAUUUAAAACUCAUUUGUGCCAUUUUUAUUUUCUUUGCAUAAACAAAUCCUAUAAACACAAAAAUAACGUAAAUAGCUCAAAAAUAUAAGGAACUAACUAAGAAAAGACGAGUGAAUUUGAAGUAAAAAUAUAUAUAAAUAUGAUCCGAUCAAAUACCCCCAUACUUAGCUUUUGCUAGUCCUCGAGCAAAACAAAGAAAACAUGAGAAAGAACUAACAUGAAAAACAUUAGUUUCCCCCUAUGUGACCUUCAUAGAAUUUCAUUCGAGAAAACAAAUCAUCAAGAACCAUAGCUAACACCAACAAACUAAUCCAAGUUCAUCUUCCUUAUUCAAAUAUUAGCAGUAAUCUUUGAAUCAUCCUUGAAGUGUAGUGUGUGAGAUAGCCAUGCUAAUGCAAUUUCAAGUUUUUAUUUUUAAAAUCAUCAUAUGCAAACUAGUAACAUUCUCACGGGAUAUACACUCAAUCACAUAUGUGUUUAGUUUUAAUGUGUUUCGCUCAAAGAAUCAAAUGUGAAAUUUCUACCAUAAGCUUGCAUAAAGAUCACUUCUCCACAGUCAUAAUUGCAAAACUUAAAUCAAGAGGACUUUUAUUGGAUGUAAUGAGGCUUAGGGAUAGGGUUAUUGAAACGAAAGAAUAGGAAAACACAAGUUCCAAGCUACAUUGCAAGCAAUUCUUUUCUUUAGAUUUAUAAGAACUCAAUCUUUCCAACAAUUCUUCUAGCACCUCCAACCACACCCUUAACUGAAACUUGAACAACUUUUUAUUUUCUUUGUGUACAAUCUUUUUUUUUUUUUUUUUUUAAUUUUUUUUUUUUAUAUACAAACCUGAAAUACCCCCACACUUAUUCUUUUGCCAAACACCUUCAAAGUACUUUACAAACAUUUCUCAUAAGACAAUCUCACAUUGCUCACUAGCUUGCCUCGAAAGGGUAAGGAAAAAUGUUUCAAGCAUAAGGGUAGACAUAUCUGGUGAUAAGAAAUAAAAGGCUCAACAUACACGGCUCAAAUUGGCAAUCUAAUGAUAUCAUUUUUCUUUGGGAAACAUGGUUAUUUGGGCCAUAGUGGUAAACCUAAUGCCUCUAUCAUUUCCAAAUUCAUGCAAUCAAUGACAAACAUUUCGAAAGAUCGUUACGCAAGUUCUAGAGAUGUAUCUCACAUAAGUUCAUCACACAUAAAAAAAAAUAGGAGUGUAUGAAAAAUGCACACACUUUCAAUAGGCUCAAAAACUCACAUAGGAUGUAUAUGGUCACUAAAUUCACAUAUGAAGCUUUAAGUCAUACUUUAGUUUCACAUUAACAAGACUAUGUGCAUUUGGUUUUUCAAAGAUGGUCAAACAUGUACAAAACUAACAAGAGAAUUAGGAAUUUCACAAAACACAUGUUAACUAAGUUCUUGAUGAUCAUGGUUCAAAUUUGAUCCAAUUAUAUCAUUGGGUCGGGAAACUAACAAAAAUCUAAUUCAAAACAAUAAGGGAAACAAGACAAUAUUUUUGGAUUUUUAAAUUUUCCGAUAUUUUAAAUUUUUUUUUUUAAAAGAAAACAAAACUAAUUAAGAAAACAAAAAGUAACAACAUGGAAACAAAUGAAACUCGUUCGUAGUUGAAGGUACAAAAAAAAUUUCAAUUUGGUCAUUUUUAUACUCUUUACCCCCAAACUUAAACUGGACAUUGUCCCCAAUGUCAGAAAACACUAUAAUGCAAAUAAAAAUAAAAUAAAUAAAUAAUAAGAAACAAAAUAAAGCAAUUGGACUGAAAACUUCCCUAGUUUGCAGUAAAACCAAGCGAUGACCCCCCAAGCUAAAAUUCUGCAAUCAACUUCAAGGGUGGAAAUAACCAAAAGUUCCUGCAAAGAAAAGAAAUAAUUCAGUUAAGUAACGCAAGAAAAUGUAAAAAAAAAUUGAAAAUCACGAUAAAAGACAAUGAAUAGAACUAAUAAGUGAUCAUUGGUCGUGCUUGUUGACUUUCCACAGCUUUCCUCUUGAACGGGGUGACACUUAGCUUUUUACUUGCAAGUGAUGAUUUGAUGAUAUUGUACGGCGAGGCUUUGCUCUUUGGCGAUGUUGUUGAAGCUUCUUGAGUUCUUCAACUCAGAUUCCUUCUGCUCUCGAGUUGAUUGUGCAGGCUCAAUUCCUUAUUUGUUCUCCAAGCAGAUGUGGCAGCUUCUCUAGUUCUUCAACUCAGACUCCUUAUGCUGGGUUGAUUGUGCAAGCUGCAUUCUUCUCUGCUUGUUUCUUCUGCACGUUGUCUUCACAUGCUGCUGGUAUCAUUUUCGCUUGCCUUAUCUGUUCUUCAUGUAGAUGUGGCAGCUUCUUUGGAAGUACAUCAGCAGUGGAAGACGAGUACUCGAGAGCAAUUUCUUCAUGUCCUGCAGGUUAGAACAAAGACAAGGAAAAAGACAUGGAAAAUGCAUGAUAUGAGAUACUCUUGCUUUCAACCUUCAUGAUAUGAAAUACUUUUGCUUUCGAUAGGUUGUUUGCAGAGGUACCCCAAGGAAUAAGGAAAACUGAGUGACUCGAGAGGGUGUGUUGGAAAUACAUUCUCGGAGAUGAAGAAGUGCUGAGAGGGUGUGCCUUUGCUGUGGAAGGCGAAGGUAGAUACUUAUAGGACUUUUCUUCACAACCGGAACUAUUCCCUCACUCAUUGUCGGCAGCCGGUGGAUGGAUGAAUAGUACAAAUUACGCGCUUUCUGACAAAGCUGCACGUAAUUUCCGCAGAGCUGCCAGUUGCAUGUGACGAGUGACGACACGUCUGGACAAAUUGAUCUUUUGAAAUCCGGGGUUCGGCUCGUGGUUUCUGAGCAAGCCCAAAUUUUAAGAAAUGAAACGCCUCUUUUGAGAAAAGAAUCCAACUUUGAGAAAGGAGCCCCGACUCUUCGAUUUGCGAGAGAACGCUUCUCUGAGGAGCGCCUCUUUGAUUUCUUCUUUUUAUAAAGGCGUUAAUUUUGUUCCACAACACACUUGAGCUCCUUCCUGUAAACACUCCCUUCUUGCACUUCCAAAAUCUUAAUCAGUCCGACUCUCUUCUUUCUUCACCACCUCUGAAAAAUGUCUGGCCCUUCCGAUCGUCGUUUUGACUUGAACAUUGGUGAAGAGGCAGCUCCGCCUUCACCAGACAACAUAUGGCGCCCAUCCUUCAUAUCCCCUACCGGUCCCCUUACCGUUAGGGAUUCGGUGAUGAAAAAUGACAUGACCGCUGCGGUGGUGGCCCGGAACCUUGUCACCCCCAGAGAUAACAGACUGCUCGCUAGACGGUCUGAUGAAUUGGCGGUUAAGGAGUCUCUGGCUCUUAGCGUGCAGUGUGCUGGUUCUGUGUCCAACAUGGCCCAACGCCUAUUUGCUCGAACCCGUCACGUUGAAUCGUUGGUGGCUGAAAUACAGAGUCUCAAAUAGGAGAUUAGAGGACUCAAGCAUGAAAAUAAACAAUUGCACAAGCUUGCACACAAUUAUGCCACAAACAUGAAGAGGAAAAUUGACCAGCUGCAGGAAAAUGAUGGUCAGAUUUUACUUGAUCACCGGAGGUUUGUGGGUUUGUUCCAACCGCAUCUGCCUUCGUCUUUUGGGGCGGCACCGCGUAGUGACCGCGUAGUGAAGCUCCAACUGAUCAACCUCUGUUGCCUCCUCCUUCUGUGGCCCCGCCGACUGCUGAAGCUCCGCCGACUACUGAAGCACCACCUGACCAAUGAAUGCUAUUAGUUUACACAUCAUUGUAAAAUAUUUUUUACUUUUAUGUUUUUUUUUUUUUUUUUAUUUUUUUUUUUUUAUUUAGGUGUGUUUUGUUUUUUUUUUUUUUUUUAAAUCAAUGUAAAAUAUGUAAAUCAAUGUAAAAAGACUUUGUUUAACCUUCCCCCACACUUAAACUAAAUAACACAAACUCACAGAAAUCAACCAAAUAACACAACUAACUGAACAAAACAAAAUGAAAGCAGUAAAGAUAAGGGUGUAAGAAUGCAAAUCUGAUUUGGUUAGCGAUUCCAAAGUCUUCCUUCGUUGAAUGCUUGGGUUGCCUCCCAAGAAGCGCUUGAUUUAACGUCUUUAGCCGGACGAAUCUUUCCUUUAAACUCCACUCGGCUCCAAAGCAUGGAAGGGAGGUGAUACUUGAAAUGAUUCGGCAAUGGUUUAAAUUCAAGAGUGGGUGCCUGAAUCAUCAAAAUUAGAAACAUGUUAGUAUAAAUUAAAAUUAAAAUUGGAGAAGAUGGCUUACUUUCUUUUUCCGACACAAACUCAAUGACAAACACCACAUUUUUUAACAUUUCCGGGACUUUGAACUUGGCCAGGUUUACUAUGAUGGUUGUGGCUUGUCCCGUGUCAUCAAACUCAACUGCUUUGGGCUUGAUUGUCUCAUGCACAACCUCUUGGAUGUAUUCUUGAUAUGCUUCAACCACUUCAUUCUCUUGAAUCCCUUUUCUUGGUGUGCAAGGUUCUUUGAACGUUUCAAUACCAUCGGGAACUUGUUUUGGUGCACCAAGAAUUAGGAUAUCACUUUGCACCUUUGGAAGAGCUUCCACAAUGUCUUUUUCACUCUCUUUGAUAUUUGGAAUCAAAAACCUGCAAGGACAAAAGACAUUCGGUGGAAUAAUGUUAGAAUGAAGUGAAUUUAGAACUUCCUCACCUAAGUUGGAUGACAUAGGGAUUUGAGGAGCUUGCAGCAAGAAUUCUUCUAAACUGCCCAGGUCGUCCUCCUCCUCUUCUGCUUGCAGCAGCAAUUCAUCCAUGUUCGGGCUGUGUUUGGAUAGUUCUGGGACAACUUCAUCCUUCAUGUCACCUUCCAAAGUGAUAGCAUCGUGGAUUUCAAAAUCUUCCUUCGAAUUUUCAACAGUUGAGCUGGAGAGUUCACUUUGCUCUUGAAUUUGUACCAUGAAUUCCAUAAUCUCUCCCAUUUGACUCAUCAAUUUAUCCAACUUCUUGUCUUGAUUUUGUUGGUCCUGCGUCAAAGAGGUUAGUACUUGAAGAAUUUGAUCACUAUCCAUGGACACCCUUGAAGUUGAUUGGAAUUGUUGUGGGGUAUGCGGUGGUGGCUGCAUAGGCGUUAAAUAAAACUCCUCAGAUUGCUGCCAAUAUUCAUCUUGUUGAGCCUCCUUGGCUUGAUUUUGUGAGCCCUGCACCAAAGAAUUUAAUUCAUCAAAAAUUUGAUUGUAAUCUAUUGACGAAUCUGAGUUUGAUUGGGCAUAUUGUAUAUGAGGUUGUGAAUAGAACUCCUCCUCUUGCUGCCAAUAUCCAUUUUGUUGGAAUUGUUGAGGUUCCUCCCACAUAUAAUUUGAAUGAUCUCUCCAAGCCGAAUUGUAAGCGUUGGAAAACAUGUUGUUGCUUGGUUGAUCAUAGCCUUGAUAACCCCAAGCAUCUUCGUUCACAGUGAAUUGAGGAUAUUGAUAUCCUUGCCCAUAUGGCACAUCAAAUGUAGGGACACUUGGCAUUGUGGUCCGUUCGGCAUUAUGAGUCAAUUAAGCAGUGAGCUGUGCCAAUUGAGCUUGAAUGGUCGCAAGUGCCAUGUCUUGCUCCAUUUGUACCUAAAAUCAAAGAAAGAAAAAUAAAUCAAAUAUCAAAAGUAAAAUACACAAACACCAAUAUAAACAUAAACAAAAACAAAAAUAAAGGAAUUAGCAAAGUUGCUAAUCCCCGGCAACGGCGCCAAAAUUUGAUGUGAGAAUUACUUGACACACAAAUUAAACCCUCUUUUUGACAAUUGUAGUAUAGAUGUAAGUAGGGUAUCGUUCUAGGCCGGGGAUUAGGAGGGAUUGCUAAUCUAUUCUAAAUUAAUUUAAAAAUAUUAACAAGACUCAAGGACACAAAACUAGGCUAAAAACUCUAAUAACUCGAAACACACUUAGAAUGACUCAAAAUAAUGAAAACAAUCAAAUUAGACACUAGGAACUGAAAUGGACGGAAAUUGAAUUAAAAGACUAACAACAAUGAAAACUAACUAAAUAAUAUAAUUUAAUAAUGGGGGGUAGUUUGGUUUUAACGAGAAGUAAAUUAAACUUAAAUAAAUUACAGAAUUGACAAAAGCAUGAAUUAAGGUGAAAUGAUAGGUGACAGACUAGCUAGAGGGUUCUUCUCCACACAUGACACAUAUGCAACCUAAAUUGAUUUUCAGUUGUUCUUUCAAUAAAUUGUAAAUCUCAAUGCCCCAAAUUAACUAGAUCGACCAAUUAAUUCUCAGAUUUCCCUAGAUUCAUUGAAUUGAAUGGGAUACGCAUUACAACCAAAUUAUUCUUAUCAAGGACCCUAACUAUGGAAUACGCAUGAUAGAGACACAUAUCAAAGAUCAUUAAGUUUAAUGAAAAUCAUAAGCAUUGACGAGGCAUUCAUAACUAUGGGAUACGCAUGUUACUCUUGCCAAGAAUUUACUUAACGUGAUUGUGACUAGCAACCUUCACUACUUGUGAAUAUAAGUUUAUAACGAUUAGGUGAAAUUCACUUAUAUUCUAGCAUCAAAUUCAUGCAUGUAAAUUAAGUAUGCAUUCUUAAUCGACAUACAAAAAUAAGUUAUCAAUCAAGCAGUUAAGCAAAUUAAAUCACAACUCAGAAAUCACAACUAAAGGUAAUCAAUUCAUAUUACAAACAUAUUCAUGGCUUUGAAUUAACCUCUAGCCAAAAUAAAUUUAGUUACACAUUAUUUUCUAAUUAAACCAGAAAUUAAACAUGAGUUUGAGAAAAUAUACAACCCUUUUAUUUUUCUUCUGCUGCCGUCUCCCUCUGACCUGCUUCUCCCUGCACGUCUUCUCUCCCUUGGCUGUCGCCCCCCCUCUUUUCUGCGCUGCCUUGGGCAGCUUAUCUCCUUUAUAUUUUUUUUAUUCUGUUUUUCUCUCUCUCUCUCUCCCGUUCUCACGCUGCUCAAAGCAGCCUUCUUGGACUCUCUGACCUCACGUUUCCUGCUUCUCUCCUGUUUUUCUGUGCAGCCUUGCUGCUUCUCUCUCCCGCCACCUGUCUCUCAAGCUGCCAAAGGCAGCUUCUAUCCUCCCUAGCGUCCUCUCUUUUCUU
rnacentral:lncRNA from 1 species